rnacentral:rRNA from 1 species
UACGGGGGGGGCAAGCGUUGUUCGGAAUUACUGGGCGUAAAGGGUUCGUAGGUGGCCAACUAAGUCAGACGUGAAAUCCCUCGGCUCAACCGGGGAACUGCGUCUGAGACUGGAAGGCUUGAAUUCGGGAGAGGGAUGUGGAAUUCCAGGUGUAGCGGUGAAAUGCGUAGAUAUCUGGAGGAACACCGGUGGCGAAGGCGGCAUCUGGCCCGUAAUUGACGCGUGAGGCGGCGAAAGCGGUGGGGAGCAAACAGGGAUUAAGAAACCCCCAGUACGU